UAAAGUUUGGUGAAAAAGUAUCCAGUGCCC
rnacentral:piRNA from 1 species